GCCCAUGACACCUUGCUUAGCCACACCCUCAAGGGACUUCAGCAGUGAUAAACAUUAAGCUAUAAGUGAAAACUUGACUUAGUUAAAGCUAAAAGAGCCGGUAAAACUCGUGCCAGCCACCGCGGUUAUACGAGAGGCUCAAGUUGACAGACAACGGCGUAAAGAGUGGUUAAGGAACUUAUUAAACUAAAGCCGAACGCCCUCAGAACUGUUAUACGUUUCCGAAGGUAAGAAGCCCCACCACGAAAGUGACUUUAUUUUCCCCGACUCCACGAAAGCUGCGUAACAAACUGGGAUUAGAUACCCCACUAUGCCCAGCCCUAAACUUUGAUAGAUCAUUACACCCACUAUCCGCCAGGGUACUACGAGCAUUAGCUUAAAACCCAAAGGACUUGGCGGUGCUUUACAUCCACCUAGAGGAGCCUGUUCUAGAACCGAUAACCCCCGUUAAACCUCACCCUCCCUUGUUUUUUCC
rnacentral:rRNA from 1 species